UCUCUGCACCACAAAGGAGACUGCGGCACUAUGCAGCCUGAACAGCACGACAAAGCAUCUGAUCUGCCUGCUUUGACAAGGUGUGGCUGGGCCUGCAGAAAAGCUGUAAGCAGACUGCAGUGUUGCUGAUCAGUGCUGAUCUCCACGUCCGAGUUGGUCCCACAACAUCCAAGCACCACGGUGCUUUCACAAGAGGCAUACGAGCACUUUGUGUCAAAAACGCCGAGCACUGUGGAUACAGAGGCAAGGAGGCUGAAGGACCUGAACAAGCACCUGGCCACCAUGCUUCGGGAUGCAAAAUAAAGAUGGUUUGUGUUAA
rnacentral:lncRNA from 1 species